rnacentral:lncRNA from 1 species
UUUUUUAAUCUCUUAACUUCUCUGCAUCUCUGCAGUCCUGUGUGGCAGAGGUUUGUGGCGUUAUUGUGGAGCAGUUUGCAAGGCUGCAGGCAAGCGUGGAGGAGGCCAGGAGAGGGGCAGUGGAGGUAAUGGAGGGAGAGCAGAGACAGGCCCUCAGACAGGCAGAUGGUAUACAGGCACAUCUGGAGCAGAGGAGAGCAGCGCUGAAGAAAACCUUGGCUCAGAUGGACAAACUGUACCGGACCAAGCCCGAUGUUGACUUUCUGCAGGAGUACUCAGAAUGGAAGAAAGGAGUGGCACACGUACAUCUGCCUGGUGUGUACAGCAACCUCACGGACCAUCUAGCCUGUUUCAGUCAGGUGGUGACUGAUGUUACGCAGGAGCUGUGUGACCAAAUCCUCUCCACCUACAGAGAAAAAAUGAGAACCAUCUGUAAAACUAGUCUUACAGCCAUGGCCCAAGCCCAGAUGACAGAAUCUCAGCCUGACCCUGAAACCCGAGAUGACUUUUUGAAAUGUAAAUAUUUCAUUUAUUGUGCAGGCAACAAAUUAUUUUUUACUGUCUGUUCUUUGAAUACAGAUCAUAUAUCAGUUGACUACACCUACAAAUGUGUUUCCCCUGACAGAUACAGUGAGUUUGACCUUUGACCCAGAGACCACCCAUCAUUUUCUACGACUGACAGAGGACAACAGAAAGCUGACCAAUACCAGCCCCUGGCAGCACAGCUACCCUGACAACCCAGAGCGCUUUGAGUACUGGCGCCAAGCAGUGAGCUCACAGAGCCUCUACUUGGGGAGGCACUACAUGGAAAUAGAGCUUAGUGGGGAGGGUGCACACGUGGGAGUCACAUACAAGAGCAUUGACCGUAAGGGAGAGGAAAGCGUUGACUGCAUCACUGGGAAUGACUUUUCUUGGUGUCUGGGACGGAACAGGCGAGGUCUCUCCGCUUGGCAUGCUGGUGUAGAGACUCCCUUGGAAGACACUGGCAUUGCAAAGAUCGGGUUAUACAUUGACUUUUUUCAGGGUUCUAUUGCCUUCUAUAAUGUGACCGACACUAUGACCCUGCUUCACAAGUAUAAGGCAGAUUUUAUAGAGCCCUUGUAUGCUAUUGCCUGGCUCUCUAAGAAGGACAAUAUAGUUUCUCUGGUUAAUGUAAAAUGAAAAACCUUUCUAGAAUUGCACACCAUAAUGCAGCAUGUCACCUGCUGCCUCUGUAGACAACUAGCAAUAUGACCUUGUACAAGAUGAACACAUUUUGAUGUUUAUUGGAGUUGUAUACUGAGGUAUAUUUAUGGAGGAUAUUUUUCCACUGAUGUAAAAUAGUGUUGCAAAAUAUUAGACUUACUACCAUCUAGUGGUGGCUGUGCAACUUGUGCAGUAAUAAGUGUGCUUGAAAUUUACUGUAGUGUCACUACUGGGAUCAGGUAUGAAAAAAAAAUCAGUUGCUUGCCAAGAUUUCCUUUAUUUGUCUUAAAAGUUUACUCAGCUAUUAAAUUUCUUCAGUAACAUUCAGGUAUGAUAUGG